UGAGUUUUACAAGAAUUAUGAUGCUCAGGCUGAGUUUGACCGUAUCAGGAAUCUUGGUUUGUUCACCUCCUGUAAGCCAGAUGGAGAAGUAGAAGAGUAAUAUGACUUAAGCAAAAUAGCAUCUUUUUCAAUUCCAGGUUGUGUGUAACACUGAGGGAAAAUUGUUUUUACUGUAAAAAAGCU